rnacentral:rRNA from 1 species
AUUGAACGCUGGCGGCAUGCCUUACACAUGCAAGUCGAACGGCAGCACGGGUGCUUGCACCUGGUGGCGAGUGGCGAACGGGUGAGUAAUACAUCGGAACAUGUCCUGUAGUGGGGGAUAGCCCGGCGAAAGCCGGAUUAAUACCGCAUACGAUCCACGGAUGAAAGCGGGGGACCCUCGGGCCUCGCGCUAUAGGGUUGGCCGAUGGCUGAUUAGCUAGUUGGUGGGGUAAAGGCCUACCAAGGCGACGAUCAGUAGCUGGUCUGAGAGGACGACCAGCCACACUGGGACUGAGACACGGCCCAGACUCCUACGGGAGGCAGCAGUGGGGAAUUUUGGACAAUGGGCGAAAGCCUGAUCCAGCAAUGCCGCGUGUGUGAAGAAGGCCUUCGGGUUGUAAAGCACUUUUGUCCGGAAAGAAAUCCUUGACUCUAAUACAGUCGGGGGAUGACGGUACCGGAAGAAUAAGCACCGGCUAACUACGUG